AGAACUGAAAUAUAGGUAAGUAACCCUGUUCUUUAAUUACUAAGAACUGAAAUAUAGGUAAGUAACCCUGUUCUUUAAUUACUGUGAACUGAAAUAUAGGUAAGUAACCCUGUUCUUUAAUUACUGAGAACUGAAAAAUAGGUAAGUACUGUAACCCUAUUCUUUAAUUAAUGUGAACUGAAAUAUAGGUACGGUAAGUAACCCUGUUCUUUAAUUACUGUGAACUGAAAUAUAGGUAAAUAACCCUGUUCUUUAAUUACUGAGAACUGAAAAAUAGGUAAGUAACCCUGUUCUUUAAUCACUGUGAAGUGAAAUAUAGGUAAGUACUGUAACCCUAUUCUUUAAUUAAUGUGAACUGAAAUAUAGGUACGGUAAGUAACCCUGUUCUUUAAUUACUGUGAAGUGAAAUAUAGGUAAGUAACCCUGUUCUUUAAUUACUGAGAACUGAAAUAUAGGUAAGUAACCCUGUUCUUUAAUUACUGAGAACUGAAAAAUAGGUAAGUAACCCUGUUCUUUAAUCACUGUGAAGUGAAAUAUAGGUAAGUACUGUAACCCUAUUCUUUAAUUAAUGUGAACUGAAAUAUAGGUACGGUAAGUAACCCUGUUCUUUAAUUACUGUGAAGUGAAAUAUAGGUAAGUAACCCUGUUCUUUAAUUACUGAGAACUGAAAUAUAGGUAAGUAACCCUGUUCUUUAAUUACUGAGAACUGAAAAAUAGGUAAGUAACCCUGUUCUUUAAUCACUGUGAAGUGAAAUAUAGGUAAGUACUGUAACCCUAUUCUUUUAUUAAUUACUGUGAACUGAAAUAUAGGUAAGUAACCCUGUUCUUUAAUUACUGAGAACUGAAAUAUAGGUAAGUAACCCUGUUCUUUAAUUACUGUGAAGUGAAAUAUAGGUAAGUAACCCUGUUUUUUAGUUACUGAGAACUGAAAUAUAGGUAAGUAACCCUGUUCUUUAAUUACUGAGAACUGAAUGAAUUUAUCAUUUCUAUAUCAUCCAGAAAAUACAAUAUCAGAAGUUACAGAUUUUUCUUUAUUUCAUUGUCACAACUAUAACACAUAUACUUAUAUCCUCCUUUAGCAUACUUUGUGCAGCAAAUAUGUACAUAUAUGGCCUGAGGUUUUAUCAGCGUACACUGUGUAGACUUGAGUACCACCAUGAGUCAGACUGGGCUGUCACAGUAUCAUGUGGAAAGAUGGAGGAUAGGGCAAUACUGGGAGGACAUACCGGUAGUAGGAAAGAUUUACCUUUUUGCAAUGGUUUGGAUAUCGCCUGUGCUGCAGGAGGAUGCGCUUAACUUAUGAUGAGGCGCAGGUCUCAUCAUAAAUUAAGUGCAUCUUCCAGCAGUUACGGCGCCCCAAAACAGAGAAGCCAUAGAUGUUUUGGCUCAUUUGAGCCAGAAAACUGGCAUAAAUGAAGAUAAAUGUGUUGUAGCGUCCAGCCCAGGUCAGUACUGCCAUAUGCAUA